AGGUGUUACAACAUUUUUGGGACACCCUGUAUAAGGAGUUCCAUCUGUGUAGUGUAGAAGUGUUAUCAAAUAUGAAUAUUUCUACCACUCGCGGCGCAAGUGAGAUCAAAUUUGAAAGGGUGACUCCAGAUUUCUCUGACAAAGUACAGUGUCUAGUGCGCUCAGAGAGUAGAGGAAAUAAAGAGAGAAAAGAAGAAAUUUCUAAGUGACUUUAUUUUUCUUGGGAAUAAUUGAAACCACAAAAAAAAGGAACAGAAAUAACUCUGGAUCACAAUUGUUACUAAAAGAUAGAUUGGAAAACCUAAGUUUAAAUGCUGAAAGCAGUCCUGCAGGAAAGACUACUACCUCGGGCAGCCAUAGAGCGCAACUUUUAAUGUAAGAUUUGAAUAGUAAAGACAAGACUAUUUUGAGCAAUAUUUUUCUUACGAGGAACGAGUCUAUUGUUAGAAAUACUAUUGCCAAACUACUAAUACAGGCAAUUGGACCACUACUCAAAGAGCUAACCAUCUUGCUCCAGGGUUACUUCGGCAAAGGAUAAACGCGAUUGAACGUGAUUAAACGAUGGUUGAACAACGUUUCGUGUGCCCGGUGUGCCCUUCGUGUGGUUUUCAAAUUCAUUUGUUGCGCAUGCGCAUUGGAAAAAGGACAGUGGUUUGAAGAAAAUACAGGAUGUCCCAAAAAUAUUGUAACACCUUGAAAGGGGUGGUUCGGGAGGUGAUUUGAAACAACUUUUUCCUUAGUGAAAAUGUUGUCCGAGGCUUUGUUAAGGAGAUAUUAAGAGAAAACCCCGACCAAUCAGAGCGUGCGUAUACCGUUGGAGCGGCCGUGGUAGCGAAGGCUACGGCUAGGCGGCCGCGUCAAUGUCCUAUGAUGCACGUCGAGUCACUUGUCGCGUACAAGCGCGGCCACUUAGCUCGUAUUAGCUCGUAUAGCUCGAUUUAAGUAAAAGACAAGAAUCUUGCCGAUUUCUUAAAUAUAUGUUUUAAUCCAAUAUCUUUCUCUGCAUGAACUACUUCAUUGUAUGAAAUGUGAUAAUUAUAACCAAAUAAAAGUCUAUAGUUUCCAAAUCGUUUCUCUAAUUUUUUAAUUCAAAAUUUUCCUGCUAAAAGAUAAGAUAUGUCAAAAGUUUGAAAACAGUACUCUAUGAGUAGUAAAAGAACUUUAGUACUUUGAUGUAAAGCUUUGAAAGUAUCUAAUGUUAAAUGACAGUCUGUUUCCAAAUUUUUCCAAAAAUCUAACUAUGUUAAAAAUUUCUUUAAAUAUUCAUAUCUAAAAUCCUUAACAUUCAAAAUCGGUUUACAAAAUUCGUUUCUUUUCCUGUUACCUUUAACACUACUUGUAUUAUUUACAAUGUCCCACCAUUUGCGAAAUAUUUCUAAAAAAUGGGCAGUAUCUGUAUAAUUAAAAUCUUUCAUAACUGCCAUUGUUGAAUGAUGGAAAAUAUUAUUUACUAGAAAAACUUUUUGCCUAACAAAAUUAUUAGGAAACAAUGAUUUAUAAUUUAAUUUAUAAGCUUUCUUAAUAAUUAAAUAUUUUUCAAAAUCGUAAACUGUACGUAAAUGGUUAAAUUUAGCUAAUCCUUGUUCAUUUGUAUAAAAUUCGGAGAAAAUAAAGGUUUUAUCUAAAUUUUUUAAAUUUAACCAGUUAUUUCUUAUAUUUUUUAUUAUAUGAACAAAGUCAAAAGAAAGAAAAAUAAUUG